UACAGAGGUCUCAAGCGUUGUUCGGAUUCAUUGGGCGUAAAGGGUGCGUAGGUGGCGGGGUAAGUCAGGUGUGAAAUCUCGGGGCUCAACCCCGAAACUGCACUUGAUACUGCCUUGCUCGAGUACUGGAGAGGAGAUUGGAAUUUACGGUGUAGCAGUGAAAUGCGUAGAUAUCUGGAGGAACACCGGUGGCGAAGGCGGCAUCCUGGACCGACACUGACACUGAGGAGCGAAAGCCAGGGGAGCAAACGGG
rnacentral:rRNA from 1 species